AAACCGUUUCAGGGGUAAACCUGAGAAACCAAAAGAUCGAAUGGGGAGAUUCAUCGUCAACGGCGCUGGCUCCCGUUGGUGCGCGAUGCUCCGGAUGGUCCUUCGCGGUUCCAUUAGCGAGGGCACGCCACCUUCGGCUCGAACGUUCCGGCGCCGUAGUCGUGCACUUCUCCCCUAGUAGAACGUCGCGACCCGUUGUGUGUCGGUCUACGGCCCGAGAGAGCGCUUGUCGCGUCGCUUCGGCGUACGCGGCAACCCUCGGUCGCCCGGCCGGCUGCACGACGGUACACGCACGGUAUCGGGCCGCAACCAAUCCAUUCUCGAAUGUGUGUGCGUCCAGCCCGCCGCAAGCUUUGUCCUUAUCCGGAGAAUCGGGCUUUAUGUUCCGUUCACGGGCACUGGCAGCUGUUAGCAGGCGGAGACCUCGGACUGGCCAAGUCUCGAAUUACCGGUCGGCGACGCUAUUGCUUUGGGUACUCUCAGGACCCGUCUUGAAACACGGACCAAGGAGUCUAACAUGUGCGCGAGUCAUUGGGAUGCAUAAACCUAAAGGCGAAAUGAAAGUGAAAAUCGGCCUUCGCGUCGAUCGAGGGAGGAUGGGCCGCGUAACCAUGCGGCCUCGCACUCCCGGGGCGUCUCGUUCUCAUUGCGAGGAGAGGCGCACCUAGAGCGUA
rnacentral:rRNA from 1 species